rnacentral:rRNA from 1 species
ACUCCUACGGGAGGCAGCAGUGGGGAAUUUUGGACAAUGGGCGAAAGCCUGAUCCAGCCAUGCCGCGUGCAGGAUGAAGGCCUUCGGGUUGUAAACUGCUUUUGUACGGAACGAAACGGCCUUUUCUAAUAAAGAGGGCUAAUGACGGUACCGUAAGAAUAAGCACCGGCUAACUACGUGCCAGCAGCCGCGGUAAUACGUAGGGUGCAAGCGUUAAUCGGAAUUACUGGGCGUAAAGCGUGCGCAGGCGGUUAUGUAAGACAGUUGUGAAAUCCCCGGGCUCAACCUGGGAACUGCAUCUGUGACUGCAUAGCUAGAGUACGGUAGAGGGGGAUGGAAUUCCGCGUGUAGCAGUGAAAUGCGUAGAUAUGCGGAGGAACACCGAUGGCGAAGGCAAUCCCCUGGACCUGUACUGACGCUCAUGCACGAAAGCGUGGGGAGCAAACAGGAUUAGAAACCCGAGUAGUCC